rnacentral:rRNA from 1 species
AUUGAACGCUGGCGGCAGGCCUAACACAUGCAAGUCGAACGAGUGGCGGACGGGUGAGUAAUGUCUGGGAAACUGCCCGAUGGAGGGGGAUAACUACUGGAAACGGUAGCUAAUACCGCAUACCAUCGGAUGUGCCCAGAUGGGAUUAGCUAGUAGGGGGGGUAACGGCUCACCUAGGCGACGAUCCCUAGCUGGUCUGAGAGGAUGACCAGCCACACUGGAACGGAGACACGGCCCAGACUCCUAGGGGGGGCAGCAGGGGGGAAUAUUGCACAAGGGGCGAAAGCCGGAGGCAGCAAUGCCGCGUGUAUGAAGAAGGCCUGGGGGUUGUAAAGUACUUUCAGCGAGGAGGCGUUACGCGCAGAAGAAGCACCGGCUAACACCGUGCCAGCGGCCGCGGUAAUC